GUAUAAUCCAAUUGCAAUGGUGCCAACCUAAGACAGGAGGCUGACGCCUAGAGGUCAGCUCAUCCAAUGACGGGUAAGGACCAUAUGUUGUAUUGGACAACCUAAAAGGCACAGUCCCUAAGCCACAUUGCUUGUUUUUUAAUUAAACAGAAGGGGGGGGAUUCUGAGAGCCAUAGCCAAGUAGGAAUGACGCAUGCCAUUUUUGGUUGGAAGGUGACCCCAGCAAGCCAUUGAGAUGAUAAUGAUUAUGUUAAAAUGCACAUUCAAUUGGAGGAUUAGACCCCUGCUGUCUGCCUAGGCCUGCUACUUUGGAGCUCUCGCGGGACUCCAGGAGAGUUCCCAUUGGUUGGGGAAGUGCGGUAGGAGGGAAUUCCGGAGGAGGGAUUUCCUGUUGGAGUAGUGUGUCCUGGGAGGAGCCAUGUGGCCUGGUUUGGCAUUUUUUCCCAGGAGCGUAUGUGGAGUGUGCUGGUGGAGUUCAGAAAUAAAGUUUGUUCCUGCUUCAGUGGCUAGUGAUUUCUGCCCAGCCAGACUGCAGCAAAGGCUAUAAAUAUUUAUGUUAUAAUAUUAGAUACAAGCUUUACCUAUUAGGUAUGACUAUAAAUGAAUAAUGUGUGAU
rnacentral:lncRNA from 1 species